UGGGAUGCAACUCAAUGGUAGAGCAUUUGCCUAGCAUGCAAAGGGCCCUGAGUUCAAUACCCAGCAAUACAU
rnacentral:tRNA from 1 species